rnacentral:misc_RNA from 1 species
AAUCGCUUGACAGGAAAUUAAAUAAUUGCUUAAAAAGUGAAUUGAACAUUGAAAAUUAAAUGGACUAAUUGCUUGAAAAGAAAUAUGGACAAGAAAGCUAUAAUUUGUAUUGAAAAUUGAAAGACUGCUUACAAGAAUUGAAAUAUGUGCAAGAAAAAUGUAAAUUGAUCACUUGAAUUAAAACACAAAAGACCGAUUGUUUGGCUGAAAAAAUAAAAAACUACUUAAAAUGUAAAGAUUGUUGAACUAGAGAAAAUAUGAGUUAAGACAUUGCGUUUAGCAGGUAU